AUACUUACUUGGCAGGGGAGAUACCAUGAGCACAAAGGUGGUUUUCCUGGAGAGAGGUUUAGCCACUGCACUCCAGACGUGCUGACCCUCGGCAUUUCCCCAAAUGUGGGAAACUCAACGGCAUAAUUUGUGGUAGUGGGGGACUGCGUUUGUGCUCUACCUGG